UGAUACGGGUGGUCGGCUCCCUGCUUGAGCAGGCACGGCCACGCGUACAUCCUUUUCAGUUGUGCGGCAAGGCUUGUAUCGUCUUGAUCGUAUACGUGGGUUUCCUGUGUUGCAUACCUGAUCAAUGGCAUCGUUUUGAUCAAAAUGUMCCUUUUUCGUCAGGCGUUGCACCCGCAACGUYGGAUGAACCACGAAGCAUCCUCUUUGAUCCAUAUAGUUGAUGAGAAUUCGUUGAUUAUUUGGCCCUUUGAGGGUGGCUUGGUCUCUCGGAUAUGGAAGCCAAAGUGGGCAUGGGUUCGAGAUCCUUUUAUUGCCCUCUUGAGCGUUCUCGCUUCUCUUACACGACCGCCUUUCACGUAUGGCACGUCCCAGCGUGUUUGGCUACGUCGAAGAGGAAUGCUACC
rnacentral:misc_RNA from 1 species